UACGUAGGGAGCUAGCGUUGUUCGGAAUCACUGGGCGUAAAGCGCACGUAGGCGGAUGUGUCAGUCAGGGGUGAAAUCCCGGAGCUCAACUUCGGAACUGCCUUUGAUACAGCACGUCUUGAGUCCGAUAGAGGUGGGUGGAAUUCCUAGUGUAGAGGUGAAAUUCGUAGAUAUUAGGAAGAACACCGGUGGACGAAGGCGGCCCACUGGAUCGGUACUGACGCUGAGGUGCGAAAGCGUGGGGAGCAAACAGG
rnacentral:rRNA from 1 species